rnacentral:rRNA from 1 species
AGUGAACGCUGGCGGUAGGCCUAACACAUGCAAGUCGAACGGCAGCACAGUAAGAGCUUGCUCUUACGGGUGGCGAGUGGCGGACGGGUGAGGAAUACAUCGGAAUCUACUUUUUCGUGGGGGAUAACGUAGGGAAACUUACGCUAAUACCGCAUACGACCUACGGGUGAAAGCAGGGGAUCUUCGGACCUUGCGCGAUUGAAUGAGCCGAUGUCGGAUUAGCUAGUUGGCGGGGUAAAGGCCCACCAAGGCGACGAUCCGUAGCUGGUCUGAGAGGAUGAUCGGCGACAUGAGAAGUGAGACGGGGUCCAGAGUCCUGCGGGAGGGAGCAGUGGGCAAUGUUGGACAAUGGGGGCAAGCCUGAUCCAGCCGUACGGCGUGGGUGAAAAAGGCCUUCGGGUUGGAAAGCCCUUUUUUGGGUAAAGAAAAGCAGCAGGUUAAUACCCCGCGGUUCUGACGGUACCCAAAGAAUAAGCACCGGCUAACUUCGUG